CUGAAAGUUGAGAUCAAAGGAUACAAUUUCAGUGAAAGUGUAGUGGAGAUGUCGGCCCGUGGAGGAGGCUACCUGGGAGACCAAGCGGGAGAUGCGAAGAAGAUAACUACACCUGUUUGAGGUUUCAGAUUCGGAGCAUUUGGAGGCCGAGUCGAGAGGCAAAGGCAUUGCGGGUUAGAUUUUGGACCAGUUUGAGAUCUAGGUGUUGCGGGUUGUGAUAGUGAGUGAUGAUCGUUGUUCCAGCAGGUCUUCGGAGUUGGCAAAGUAGCUGCUUGGCGUUCGCAGCCCUGCACUUCUCCUUCUUACCUUACUCAGACUGUCCCUAGUAUUUUAUUUCUGGACUAUGAUAUUUUUUCUUAUAGUUACACAGAUCUUGUAGUUGCCGGUGACUUGAGAUACCUCGAUGUCGGGCUUGUG